UUCUGGUGUGCAUUGAGCUGUGAUUU
rnacentral:piRNA from 1 species